AAGGGUUCAGACCCAAGGUUAGCCAAUCCCAUAAAUCUGUUCUCAGUUCGGAUCGCAGUCUGCAACUCGACUGCGUGCUAGCUGGAAUCGCUAGUAAUCGCGGAUCAGCAUGCCGCGGUGAAUACGUUCCCGGGCCUUGUACACACCGCCCGUCACACCACGAGAGUUUGCAACACCCGAAGUCGGUGAGGUAACCUUUAUGGAGCCAGCCGCCGAAGGUGGGGCAGAUGAUGGGGG
rnacentral:rRNA from 1 species